rnacentral:rRNA from 1 species
UACGUAGGGGGCAAGCGUUGUCCGGAAUCAUUGGGCGUAAAGAGCGUGUAGGCGGCCCGGUAAGUCCGCCGUGAAAGUCCAGGGCUCAACCCUGGAAUGCCGGUGGAAACUGCCGGGCUGGAGUCCGGAAGAGGCGAGUGGAAUUCCUGGUGUAGCGGUGAAAUGCGCAGAUAUCAGGAGGAACACCAAUGGCGAAGGCAGCUCGCUGGGACGGUACUGACGCUGAGACGCGAACGCGUGGGGAGCAAACAGG